UCUCGGUGAUGUGAAAUCGAUGACGAGUCUGAUUAUUUCCAUUCUUGUGAUGUUAAUCGAGGCAUUUGUCUGAGAGAA